rnacentral:rRNA from 1 species
ACAGGGAAUUAGGCCUUCAUCACAGUCGUGACCUGCGGGUAUCUAUUUCCGGCGCAGGGCCUUUGGGGGAGGUUGCGGGCGGCGAGGGGUGCCUCCGGCCGCACGCCCAUUCUUGUCUACUGACCCGGUUGCCUCGGCGGGCCGCGCCUGCUGUGCUACAGCGGCCGUUCGGGGGGGACGCCUGAGGGGGACUCUUGUUUCCUAGGCCACGCCCCGGGCAGCGCUCGCCGGAGGAUUACUCUGGAAAACACACUCUUGAAAGAACAUACCGUCUGAGCGAGCAACGCAAAUCAGUUAAAACUUUCAACAACGGAUCUCUUGGUUCCGGCAUCGAUGAAGAACGCAGCGAAAUGCGAUAAGUAAUGUGAAUUGCAGAAUUCCGUGAAUCAUCGAAUCUUUGAACGCACAUUGCGCCCCCUGGCAUUCCGGGGGGCAUGCCUGUUCGAGCGUCAUUUCAACCCCUCAAGCCCGGCUUGUGUGAUGGACGACCGUCCCCCCUCCCCAGUAACCACCCACCGCUUAGGGGGGUGGGAGGGAGGGGGACGCGCCCGAAAAGCAGUGGUCAGGCCGCGAUUCCGGCUCCUGGGCGAAUGGGACAUACCACCGCCUCCAGGACCGGCCGGCAGGCUGGCCUAACGCACCAUGUAUUAUUCAGGUUGACCUCGGAUCAGGUAGGGAUACCCGCUGAACUUAAGCAUAUCAAUAAAAGCAGGAGCCUAGGUUCCUCUGCUAAUUGAAUAUCCUCCACGUUCCCGAACAAACCCUUCCAGAGAUAAGGAGGCCCAGAGUCCUAAAUAACG